UACGAAGGGGGCUAGCGUUGCUCGGAAUCACUGGGCGUAAAGGGCGCGUAGGCGGCCAUUCAAGUCAGGGGUGAAAGCCUGUGGCUCAACCACAGAAUUGCCUUUGAUACUGUUUGGCUAGAGACCGGAAGAGGUAAGUGGAACUGCGAGUGUAGAGGUGAAAUUCGUAGAUAUCGGGAGGAACACCAGUGGCGAAGGCGGCGAUCUGGGAACAUACUGACGCUGAGGUGCGAAAGCGUGGGGAGCAAACAGG
rnacentral:rRNA from 1 species